rnacentral:tRNA from 1 species
GGGGUUGUGGCUCAGAGAUAGAGCGCUCGCCUAGCAUGCGAGAUUCUGGGUUUGAUCCCCAGCACCA